GCGGCUCCGACUCCGGGGCAAAAGAAGAGUGCAGGAGAGAAAGUUUCCUAAUGCUAGAUUGAAAAAUUGGACGUAUCCCCAGAUUUUAAAACUUGAAAGGAACUCCUAUAUAAGAGAUAAUCUUCCUCCUCCCCCACUGCUGAAAGAAGAAACAGGCCUGUUGCUUAACAUUACACAGGCAAUGAGAGAACCAUUGAAGAUUUUUCUGGUGGUGGAGUGGUAUGAGCAUAUUUGCUCAUGAAGAAGAUUAAGCUAGCAGUUUUUUAAUGGAUUGGAUGGGGGGAAAGUCAGUAGCAUGUCAUCACUUAUCUAAUGAAGGCCUUCAAAACCUGAACAUCUAAGUGUGUUCCCUGGGAUCACCUCCCAUAAUAUAUGGCAUUUUCAUAGCAGAAGGCUGUCUAUUAUAGUUUGUUCAGCUUUAAGAGUCAGUCAAAAACCUUGAUAAGUUUAAAGUAAAGACAAUUUUAAAAUAAAAUAGAAUGUCAAGGAAAAUACUAACA
rnacentral:lncRNA from 1 species